GCCCGCCUAGCUCAGUUGGUUUAGAGCUUCCGACUUUUAAUCGGACGGUCGCGGGUUCGACCCCCGCGGUGGGCU
rnacentral:tRNA from 1 species